rnacentral:rRNA from 1 species
AUUGAACGCUGGCGGCAGGCCUAACACAUGCAAGUCGAGCGGAUGAAGGGAGCUUGCUCCUGGAUUCAGCGGCGGACGGGUGAGUAAUGCCUAGGAAUCUGCCUGGUAGUGGGGGAUAACGUCCGGAAACGGGCGCUAAUACCGCAUACGUCCUGAGGGAGAAAGUGGGGGAUCUUCGGACCUCACGCUAUCAGAUGAGCCUAGGUCGGAUUAGCUAGUUGGUGGGGUAAAGGCCUACCAAGGCGACGAUCCGUAACUGGUCUGAGAGGAUGAUCAGUCACACUGGAACUGAGACACGGUCCAGACUCCUACGGGAGGCAGCAGUGGGGAAUAUUGGACAAUGGGCGAAAGCCUGAUCCAGCCAUGCCGCGUGUGUGAAGAAGGUCUUCGGAUUGUAAAGCACUUUAAGUUGGGAGGAAGGGCGGUAAGUUAAUACCGUGCUGUUUUGACGUUACCAACAGAAUAAGCACCGGCUAACUUCGUGC